rnacentral:rRNA from 1 species
AUGGCUGAGAACCCGGCUGCUGCUGCUGCAGUUAAUCACGGCGAAGGCCUCCGGCUACCGGAGACGUCGUCGAUAUGCGUCACGGAGAGCGCCGCACACAACUUCGAGGUGACCAAUUAUGCGCUGCUCGAGGGCCUGGGCGUCGGGAAGUACAUCACCUCAAGCACAUUCAGGGUCGGCGGCUACGAUUGGAAUAUCAUGUUCUACCCGGACGGAAGCACGAAGGACUUUACCGGCAACGCGUCAGCCUUUUUGUAUUAUCUCAGUAAGGGGAAGGACGGGGUGAGGACAAAAUUCACCUUAACCCUGCUGGACGGUCAAGGCAAUGCACAGGAAAUCAACAAGGAUUACGAACCGCCCACGGAGUGCCGAAGAAAUCUCAUCGUAGUUCCACCGUCGAAGCUGCCCGGCAACAUCAAGCGCACCCUCAAGGACGGGAAGGGCGCAGACGUCACGCUGCUCGUGGGCGGCAGGGAGUUCAGUGCGCACAGGUUCAUGCUAGCCGCACGGUCGCCGGUUUUCGACGCACAGCUCUUUGGCCCGAUGAUGGACGAGGACACGCGGUGCAUAGAGGUUGUCGACAUGGACCCGGCCAUCUUUGAGAUGCUUCUUCACUACAUCUACAUGGAUUCGCUGCCCCCGCGUGACGAGAAAGGUUACGAUGCUGCUUCCAUGCAGCACUUGCUAGUCGCGGCAGAUCGGUACGGGCUGGACAGGCUCAAGGUGAUGUGUGAAGAGGAACUGUCCAAAAGCAUCAACGUCCAGACCGUCACGAGUACAUGGGCGGUUGCAGAUCAGCACUUCUGCGAAGGGCUCAAGAAUGCUUGUGAGGAGUUUCUUUCUGUCCCGGGAAUAGGGACCAUUGUCUCUUUAAGAAACGGGUUCAAACGCCUCAUGGCAAAGCUGGAACUGGGGGACGAGGAGGCAUCUGCCGCGGGGACGAAGUAA